rnacentral:piRNA from 1 species
UGUCUUGAAAGUACAUUUUCGAGUCUC